rnacentral:rRNA from 1 species
UACGUAGGGUGCGAGCGUUAAUCGGAAUUACUGGGCGUAAAGCGUGCGCAGGCGGUUUUGUAAGCCAGAUGUGAAAUCCCCGGGCUCAACCUGGGAAUGGCAUUUGGGACUGGAAGGCUGGAGUUUGGCAGAGGAGACUGGAAUUCCUGGUGUAGCAGUGAAAUGCGUAGAUAUCAGGAGGAAUACCGAUGGCGAAGGCAGGUCUCUGGGCUAUAACUGACGCUCAUGCACGAAAGCGUGGGGAGCAAACAGG